rnacentral:rRNA from 1 species
UUAAGUUAAUAAGGGCGCACGGUGGAUGCCUUGGCACUAGAAGCCGAUGAAGGACGUGACUAACGACGAAAUGCUUUGGGGAGCUGUAAGUGAGCAAUGAUCCAGAGAUGUCCGAAUGGGGGAACCCGGCAGGUAAUGCCUGUCACUCAUUACUGUUAAGGUAAUGUAGAGGAAGACGCAGUGAACUGAAACAUCUAAGUAGCUGUAGGAAGAGAAAGCAAAAGCGAUUGCCUUAGUAGCGGCGAGCGAAACGGCAAGAGGGCAAACCGAAGAGUUUACUCUUCGGGGUUGUAGGACUGCAACGUGGACUUAAAGAUUAUAGAAGAACUACCUGGGAAGGUAGGCCAAAGAGAGUAAUAGCCUCGUAUUCGAAAUAGUCUUUAUACCUAGCAGUAUCCUGAGUACGGCGAGACACGAGAAAUCUCGUCGGAAUCUGGGAGGACCAUCUCCCAACCCUAAAUACUCUCUAGUGACCGAUAGUGAACCAGUACCGUGAGGGAAAGGUGAAAAGCACCCCGGGAGGGGAGUGAAAUAGAACCUGAAACCGUGUGCCUACAACAAGUUCGAGCCCGUUAAUGGGUGAGAGCGUGCCUUUUGUAGAAUGAACCGGCGAGUUACGAUAUGAUGCGAGGUUAAGUUGAAGAGACGGAGCCGUAGGGAAACCGAGUCUUAAUAGGGCGCAUUAGUAUCAUGUCGUAGACCCGAAACCAUGUGACCUACCCAUGAGCAGGUUGAAGGUGAGGUAAAACUCACUGGAGGACCGAACCAGGGCACGUUGAAAAGUGCUUGGAUGACUUGUGGGUAGCGGAGAAAUUCCAAACGAACUUGGAGAUAGCUGGUUCUCUCCGAAAUAGCUUUAGGGCUAGCGUCGAUGUUAAGUCUCUUGGAGGUAGAGCACUGUUUGGGUGAGGGGUCCAUCCCGGAUUACCAAUCUCAGAUAAACUCCGAAUGCCAAUGAGAUAUAAUCGGCAGUCAGACUGCGAGUGCUAAGAUCCGUAGUCGAAAGGGAAACAGCCCAGACCACCAGCUAAGGUCCCAAAAUAUAUGUUAAGUGGAAAAGGAUGUGGGGUUGCACAGACAACUAGGAUGUUAGCUUAGAAGCAGCUAUUCAUUCAAAGAGUGCGUAAUAGCUCACUAGUCGAGUGACCCUGCGCCGAAAAUGUACCGGGGCUAAAACAUAUUACCGAAGCUGUGGAUACCUUUAUAGGUAUGGUAGGAGAGCGUUCUAUGUGCGAAGAAGGUGUACCGUGAGGAGUGCUGGAGCGCAUAGAAGUGAGAAUGCCGGUAUGAGUAGCGAAAGACAGGUGAGAAUCCUGUCCACCGUAAGACUAAGGUUUCCAGGGGAAGGCUCGUCCGCCCUGGGUUAGUCGGGACCUAAGGAGAGACCGAAAGGUGUAUCCGAUGGACAACAGGUUGAUAUUCCUGUACUAGAGUAUAUAGUGAUGGAGGGACGCAGUAGGCUAACUAAACCAGACGAUUGGAAGUGUCUGGCCAAGCAGUGAGGUGUGAUAUGAGUCAAAUGCUUAUAUCUUUAACAUUGAGCUGUGAUGGGGAGCGAAGUUUAGUAGCGAAGUUAGUGAUGUCACACUGCCGAGAAAAGCUUCUAGCGUUAAUUAUACUCUACCCGUACCGCAAACCGACACAGGUAGUCGAGGCGAGUAGCCUCAGGUGAGCGAGAGAACUCUCGUUAAGGAACUCGGCAAAAUGGCCCCGUAACUUCGGGAGAAGGGGCGCUGACUGAUGGUCAGCCGCAGUGAAUAGGCCCAAGCAACUGUUUAUCAAAAACACAGCUCUCUGCUAAAUCGUAAGAUGAUGUAUAGGGGGUGACGCCUGCCCGGUGCUGGAAGGUUAAGAGGAGUGCUUAGCGUAAGCGAAGGCAUGAAUUGAAGCCCCAGUAAACGGCGGCCGUAACUAUAACGGUCCUAAGGUAGCGAAAUUCCUUGUCGGGUAAGUUCCGACCCGCACGAAAGGCGUAAUGAUUUGGGCACUGUCUCAACGAGAGACUCGGUGAAAUUUUAGUACCUGUGAAGAUGCAGGUUACCCGCGACAGGACGGAAAGACCCCAUGGAGCUUUACUGCAGUUUGAUAUUGAGUAUCUGUACCACAUGUACAGGAUAGGUAGGAGCCUAUGACCUCGGGACGCCAGUUUCGAGUGAGGCGUUGUUGGGAUACUACCCUUGUGUUAUGGCUACUCUAACCCAGAUAGGUUAUCCCUAUCGGAGACAGUGUCUGACGGGCAGUUUGACUGGGGCGGUCGCCUCCUAAAAGGUAACGGAGGCGCCCAAAGGUUCCCUCAGAAUGGUUGGAAAUCAUUCGCAGAGUGUAAAGGUAUAAGGGAGCUUGACUGCGAGAGCUACAACUCGAGCAGGGACGAAAGUCGGGCUUAGUGAUCCGGUGGUUCCG